GCCAGUGUGGCAUAAUGGCUUGAGCACUGGACUAAGUCUCUAGAGACCAGGGUUCGAAUCCCUGCUCAGCCA